CGCGUAGGCGGUUUUUUAAGUCAGAUGUGUAAUCCCCGAGCUUAACUUGGGAACUGCAUCUGAGACUGGAAGGCUAGAGUACUGGAGAGGGUGGUGGAAUUCCUCGUGUAGCGGUGAAAUGCGUAGAGAUGAGGAGGAACACCAGUGGCGAAGGCGGCCACCUGGACAGUAACUGACGCUGAGGCGCGAAAGUGUGGGUAGCAAACAGGAUUAGAUACCCUGGUAGUCCACGCUAGUAAACGAUGAACACUUGGUGUGGAGGGAGUUUGACCCCUUCCGUGCCGGAGCUAACGCGUUAAGUGUUCCGCCUGGGGAUACGGUCGCAAGGCUGAA
rnacentral:rRNA from 1 species